rnacentral:ncRNA from 1 species
UCAAACGCUAUGACUGGGAGAAGUAACACAGGUAUUUCACUCACAGAGAGCGCGGAAGAGGUGUGAGCCGCGCAGCAGAGCCUUUGCGAAUAACACCCGCGAGCGGCAGACCGAACGGCGGAAGCUCAGUAGGAAAGACGUGUUCCUCACGUUAUGAGGAUAAGAGUGACAACGCUCGGAUAAUGCUUUUGAGCGAUUUGUAAUUCAGGUGGUACCGCGAUGGCUUACAGCUUUCGUCCUGUUU